GCUCUUUGGGGAGCAGUAGGGCCUCCUGAGCCCUUCCUGAUCCAUGCUGGAAUAUUGACAGGCCCCAUCUUGUGCAGGUAAUCACAGCCGCUGUGACCUGAAAAAGCAAGUUUCUGCUUGCCUGGUGCAGAUCCAAUGAAAACCCUGCCUCGAGUCAGUUGUUUCGCAUGUAUUGUCUGGGCAGGACAUGUGACAUGAGAUGUUGGGAACACAAGUCCUGAAGUCGCACUGCUCACACCUGACCAGGGAUUCAUCACUUCACUGGGAGCAACUCUGAAAGACCUAAAAUUUGGCUCUGAAAAUUUCCUUAAUCUGUAAGAAGAAAUAAUCCCCUGGAAGUCCAGUUGUUAUGACCAAAGAGAAAAAACAAGGCUCUGACCAGAAAUGCCCACACGGAAGCCACGGGACUUUCAUAACAAAAUUGCUAAAUUCAUGUCAUAUCCCUUCUUGGACAUGUUCUAGAUAGAUCUGCCAAAAGCAACAAAAAUCACUGCUGCCAGCAAAGGUCUUCAAAGGCAGUGGCGGUGACAAUGUUCCCCUCUGGCCAGAGCUUAAAAGCAAGAGAGUGGAAUCACAUCCCGGGAGAGUGCACUCUUCAAAGCGCUUUCAGACAGGGGAAGCAUUGCCUCUGACCUCCGGACAGCUUUCUCUGGCCAUUUCCAGGAUAUUUGUUUCCAGAAAUAUUUCUUCCUUUGCUUCAUUCCCACCAAGAAGCGCUCACAGGAUGGCCAUUCACCUUUAGGGGAGCAUCAAUGACAAAGGGGAACCCACACAAAUGGGAGCAACAGCCUCGGAAUUACAAUGUCCAAAGCAGACUUGUGAAAGGUGAACAUAGGCAGGAAGGGGCAUUAUGUGCAUACAGUACUUACAGUAUUUAUAUCUGAACCGCUGGUCCCCUGCCAGCCUCGGUUUCCUCUUUACAACUGAAGGGAGUGUGAUCCACUGAGUGCUGAUGGUCUGUAAGAGUGAAUGUGCAAGUGGGUCCAAGCUAUGUGCACCCAGGAGUUCUCUGUCUGGUUAAGGAAGGAGUCAUACAAUCCUACUAGAUCACAGAAAGUCAAGGUCACCUCCGUUUAAGGAUGGUGCCAGAGGACAUCACUUCUGGACUACGUUAAAACUUGAGCCAGCCUGGUUACACAGGCCUGUAAUCCCUGCUGCUACUCCAAAGACUGAGGCAGGAGGAUCACAAGUUCAAAACCUACCUAUGUCAGAAAGUUCCACACCAACUUUGGUAACUUAAUGAGACUUUGUCUCUAAGGAAAAAAAAGGGGGGAUGGGGGGGAGCUUACAAGAUGGUUCAGAGUGUGAGAGCACUGUCUACCAGGACCCACAUGCAGAAAAUAGACAACUGACUCCCAUAACGUCUUUGAUAUCUACCUACUACAUGCUAACACACACACGCACACACACACACACACACACACACACACACACACACACACGGGUUGAGUUAAGGACUAACAUUUUGAAAUUUUUAGACUGAAUGUAUCAAAGCUUAGGUAAGCCAUUGAUGAGGAACCCAGUGAGAUAGGAAGUUAGGUCAAAGGUCAUUUGAAAAGCUGAGCACUUACAGUAUGAAGGCAGAAUCACCUGUUUAGAGGGAUAAUCUCAUUUUAUUUUGUUGAAAUGGGGUGUCAUUGUUUGACCCAGGCUGGAUCUUCCCACCUCUGUCUCCCGAGUGUUGAUUAAAAGUAGUGCUUGUUCACCA